rnacentral:misc_RNA from 1 species
GAUGAAGAACGCAGUGAAAUGCGAUAAGUAAUGUGAAUUGCAGAAUUCAGUGAAUCAUCGAAUCUUUGAACGCACCUUGCACCCUUUGGCAUUCCGAAGGGUAUGCUCGUUUGAGUGUCAUUGUACUCUCACACUCCCAAUUGCUUUGGAUUGGGAGCGGUGGACUUGGGUGUUGCUGCUUGACUGAGGCUCACCUGAAAUAUGUUAGUGCACCUCUUGAUUGGACAUAGUACGGCGUGAUAAGUGUCUUCGCCGGCUCCUCGCAAAGAGGGUGGACGAUCGGGAGCUCUGUUGCUUCAAACUGUCUUCGGACAAUCUUCUGGCGACUUGACCUCAAAUCGAGUAGGACUACCCGCUGAACUUAAGCAUAUCAAUAAGCGGAGGA